GGACCUGUGGCGCAGCGGUAGCGCGUGAGAUUCCAGUCCUCAAGGUCAUCCGUUCAAUCCGGGUCGGGUUCA